rnacentral:lncRNA from 1 species
AUUGUAUUUGUAGCACCUGGCUUCUUUCUUGCUUCUACUCUUCUGAGACUUUAACCAUCCCCUUGACUUGUCUCUUUCUCUUUCUCUUUUUGAUCUCUCCCCCACGGCCAAGCCCUACUAGGGAGCACAUUCCUUGGUCAACUUCUCCCACUAUUCAUUGGAUCGCAGCACCGAGACCAUGUCUUCAUACUUCAGGGUCUCUUUGCCGUAGAGCAACGUCGUCACCAAUGGAUCAUAGGAAGAGAGCAGC